rnacentral:rRNA from 2 species
AACGACUCUCGGCAACGGAUAUCUCGGCUCUCGCAUCGAUGAAGAACGUAGCGAAAUGCGAUACUUGGUGUGAAUUGCAGAAUCCCGUGAACCAUCGAGUUUUUGAACGCAAGUUGCGCCCUAGGCCAUCCGGCUGAGGGCACGCCUGCCUGGGCGUCACGC